rnacentral:rRNA from 1 species
AACGAACGCUGGCGGCAGGCCUAACACAUGCAAGUCGAGCGGACCCUUCGGGGUUAGCGGCGGACGGGUGAGUAACGCGUGGGAAGAUGCCCUUCUCUACGGAAUAGUCCUGGGAAACUGGGGGUAAUACCGUAUACGCCCUUAGGGGGAAAGAUUUAUCGGGGAAGGAUUAGCCCGCGUUGGAUUAGGUAGUUGGUGGGGUAAUGGCCUACCAAGCCGACGAUCCAUAGCUGGUUUGAGAGGAUGCUCAGCCACACUGGGACUGGGACACGGCCCAGACUCCUACGGGAGGCAGCAGUGGGGAAUCUUAGACAAUGGGGGCAACCCUGAUCUAGCCAUGCCGCGUAAGUGAUGAAGGCCUUAGGGUUGUAAAGCUCUUUCAGCUGGGAAGAUAAUGACGGUACCAGCAGAAGAAGCCCCGGCUAACUCCGUG